UACGGAGGGAGCUAGCGUUGUUCGGAAUUACUGGGCGUAAAGCGCACGUAGGCGGCUUUGUAAGUUAGAGGUGAAAGCCCGGGGCUCAACCCCGGAAUUGCCUUUAAGACUGCAUCGCUUGAAUCCGGGAGAGGUGAGUGGAAUUCCGAGUGUAGAGGUGAAAUUCGUAGAUAUUCGGAAGAACACCAGUGGCGAAGGCGGCUCACUGGCUCGACACUGACGCUGAGGUGCGAAAGCGUGGGGAGCAAACAGG
rnacentral:rRNA from 1 species